rnacentral:tRNA from 1 species
GGGCCUGUAGCUCAGUUGGUUAGAGCAAACCGCUCAUAACGGUUCGGUCGCAGGUUCGAAUCCUGCCGGGCCCACCA